rnacentral:sRNA from 1 species
UUCAGGUUGUGUUGUGAUUCUUUUCCAUGUAGUUUUGUGAUAAUCUGUUAAUUUCACCUUGUACAUUGAAACUAUUCCUAUGAAUUCAGCGUAAAGCAUGAGUAUGAAGGAGAAUGGAAUGAGAACAAGACCCGCUUAACCACCUGUGAUCCCCAUGCCAAAAGGCUGGUCACUAGCUCUGAAUCUCCCCAAGAGAUUAAAAGCAAGAAAGAAAUAAUUUUCAGCUAUGAUGUUGAGUUCGAGGCAAGUGAUGUGAAGUGGGC